GGGCCAAGUUAUCCGGCUCCACCUCUAUCACAUGGGAAUAGGAAUAGUACGUACCGCUUAGGUUCCUGCUGGAGAUGAACCGAUCUACAGAAAGCUCCCGGCCUAGCACUCAGGACUCCUCAUUAUGUGAUAGCAGUUGGUUAUUGCGCUUAACUGCAUCUGGCUAUGUGGCUUCUGUCUCCUGAUGGUGUCCCAAACUCUCCAAAGCAUCUGAGCGACUUGGCCACUUUCCCCUGGAUGCCUGUGUGCAGGCCUGUGGAAUGCGAGCUGCCUUCCCGACCACCUGUCUGGCACACAUCUGGAUCCAGCUGACACUUGGGCCUCAAGGGCACACAGAAGGAACCCACUCUACUCAUCUCAAAGAUCUUCAGUCUCCCACUCAAGACCCCACAACCCGCUUUGGGCUCCUGCCCACCCCCUCUCCUGCACCCAGUCUACUGUGGCCGUGAAAAAAUGAGAAAAAGGUUUUCCCUAAAUAUAAUCCAGGUAUUUGAAAAGAACACUUACCCCGGCUACAGACUUUCCCAUCAGAACAAUUAACAGCAGAACCCGGAGCUCAGACAUCCUGGCAAAC